rnacentral:lncRNA from 1 species
UUGCUUCCUUCUGACUCUGCUAAUUGCAUCUGGUGAAUACUGGAAAAGAAACUGCAGGGCUGGAAGGCAUUGCUGUCAUCCAGCCAAUCAGAUGUACACACAGCCAAUGGGAGUUCUCUUCCCACAGCCUACAGCCCUGAGGUGGUUCCAGGCAGCUGGUGCCCUACCAGAGCCAUGUGUCACGUGGCUCUGUACAUCAGCGAUUUCCUACAUUCUUCACCACUUUUGGAGAACCGUUUCCUCGCAGGAUAUAUUAUAUAAUAACCUGAUUAGGCAGAGUCACAGGCAUGAGUUACUGCCAACACUUAUCCUGUCCAGCUUUGUGAAUUUGGGUAAGUUACUUAAAUUUCCUGAGCCUCAUUUCUCUGAACAUUGAGAACAUGAUUGCAAAUAAUUGAGGAUUUUAUUUAAGGAUCACAUGGCACCGCCUUCAAGUAUAAUUGCAGUAAUUGUUUU